ACUGAGUGGCGGACGGGUGAGUAACGGCGUGGGUAACCUGACCCUGUACAGGGGAUAACAGUUAGAAAUGACUGCUAAUACCGCAGUAAGCGCACGAUGGUAGCAGUUACCAGGUGUGAAAAACUCCGGUGGUACAGGAUGGGCCCGCGUCUGAUUAGCUAGUUGCGGGGUAAGAGCCCACCAAGGCGACGAUCAGUAGCCGGUCUGAGAGGGUGAACGGCCACAUUGGAACUGAGACACGGUCCAAAUCCUACGGGAGGCAGCAGUGGGGAAUAUUGCACAAUGGGGGGAACCCUGAUGCAGGACCAACGCCGCGUGAGUGACGAAGUAUUUCGGUAUGUAAAGCUCUAUCAGCAGGGAAGAUAAUGACGGUACCUGACUAAGAAGCUCCGGCUAAAUACGUGCCAGCCGCGGC
rnacentral:rRNA from 1 species